rnacentral:piRNA from 1 species
GAUUCAAUUUUAAGAAGGUGUCU